rnacentral:lncRNA from 1 species
CAGGAUCUCAUCUGACCCCGUGCUAAAGAUCCUUUGGCGUCAGCCUCCUUCCCAGGGACUGAGAUUACAGGCUCAGGAAUCUACUACUACAGUCCCCAAACCAAAGAGAUCUCUUGCGCUGAAUGGUCAGAUGUAAACAACAGGUCACAGUUUCUAGAAGAAGGAAGAGCCGUCUACUCACCCAUCUGGACAGGGCUUCUUUGAUCGUUGUUGCUUUUGCCUUAAAGGUGGGAGGGAGGGGAGAAGCACAGGCAGCGUUCAGUGCUGGGAUUUGUUGAUUCAGCCUUAAUACAGUAAUUACUGGCCUUGGCUUCUACCAUUAAAGCAUUCGAUUCUUUCUU